UAAUCUAUUAAUCUUGUUAAUAUUUAUUUUCUCCCUAUACUGUUCACAGGAAGAAUUUACAAUCCUCGGAUGCCCAGAACUAUCUGUUCUUCAGCAUAGGGAAUCUUGGAUAUCUCUUCCCGGCUAUGCUGUGAGACCUUGAGUAUCUAGGACAUCUUAUGACACUGAAGGAGGUAAAAAGUAUUUAUUAUCGGGAAGGUGUAGACUUAGGAACUCUCUGCACAAUCGUCACGGUCUUCUACUCUGAGGAUCUGCAUGAAUAAAUUAUAAAUGUCACAGUUCCGCACAGCUGAAAAGAUUGAAUUAAUUAGCCUGUCACCUGAGAGCUUUCGCCCUUUCUGCAAGGGAAUGAAGUGAUUUGAAAGAGUGCUGGAAAGGGCCCUCGUUCCACUUGACCUUUCCAGAGAUGUGGCAGACAGAUCGAUGGGGAAGUAACUGCAACAAGCUGACACCUUGUAGAUAAGGUAUGCUCCAGGAGUCAAGAGUACCUAAAUAAGUUAUAAAAACAUGGAGAUCUACUGCCUUGUUUUAUGAAGGUCUUGUGUUACGUUGGUUAAUGCUGAGUUAUCUUCCAGUCACUUUGUUGAUUGUUUGUUUGUUUUCCCUGUGUAUUUGA
rnacentral:lncRNA from 1 species